rnacentral:rRNA from 1 species
UAAGGAAUAUUGGUCAAUGGACGCAAGUCUGAACCAGCCAUGCCGCGUGAAGGCUGAAGGUCCUCUGGAUUGUAAACUUCUUUUAUCUGGGACGAAAACGGGAUUUUUAUCUCAAUUGACGGUACCAGAGGAAUAAGCACCGGCUAACUCCGUGCCAGCAGCCGCGGUAAUACGGAGGGUGCGAGCGUUAUCCGGAUUUACUGGGUUUCAAGGGUGCGUAGGUGGGCUUAUAAGUCAGUGGUGAAAUCUCCGAGCUUAACUUGGAAACUGCCGUUGAUACUAUAUGUCGUGAAUUAUCUGGAGGUAAGCGGAAUAUGUCAGGUAGCGGUGAAAUGCGUAGAUAUGACAUAGAACACCAAUUGCGAAGGCAGCUUACUACAUAUAAAUUGACGC